AGGAUGAACGCUAGCUCAAGGCUUAACACAUGCAAGUCAGGGGCAGCAUACGAAAGCUUGCUUUGUUGAUGGCGACCGGCGCACGGGUGAGUAACGCGUAUCCAACCUUCCCCUUAGUAGGGCAUAGCCCGGUCGAAAGUCGGAUUAAUACCCUAUGUUUCCCGUUGAGGACAUCUGAAGUGGAACAAAGAUUUAUCGCUAAGGGAUGGGGAUGCGUCUGAUUAGGUUGUUGCGGGGUAACGGCCACCAAGCCAUCGAUCAGUAGGGGUUCUGAGAGGAAGGUCCCCCCACAUUGGUACUGAGACACGGACCAAACUCCUACGGGAGGCAGCAGUGAGGAAUAUUGGUCAAUGGGCGAGAGCCUGAACCAGCCAAGUAGCGUGCAGGAUGACGGCCCUAUGGGUUGUAAACUGCUUUUGCAUGGGAAUAAAGUGAGGGACGUGUCCCUUUUUGUAUGUACCAUGAGAGUAAGGACCGGCUAAUUCCGUGCCAGCCGCCGC
rnacentral:rRNA from 1 species